UAUGAUGAAGGCUAUGUUGGUAG
rnacentral:piRNA from 1 species